ensembl:lncRNA
AAAUAAAUUCCAAAGGUUUCCCUUUCUUUAAGAAAUUCUGAGAGAACUGCAGUCGCCAUCUGUUAAGGUUUGGGAAUUGAGCAAGAAGCCACAUUUUAAAAGGGAAAAGGAGAAAAGACCCGGAAAGCCUGUCUUCCUACCACCCUCCUCCCUCCACGGCCCAGAUGCAGGAGACCGGUUGAUUCUCGUGGAUUUUUUCCCCUCCCAGAGAACAUAGCCCAGGAGCAUCCAUUCAGAUCAAAUCGAGGAACAAAGCUGCGAGAAACUGCCAAGCCCGUCUUGCAAGCUCGGAGCGGCCCCGCGGUCUCGUCCAGAGAUAACAUCAGAGCGCCCCCUGCUGGCCAGCAGAGUAGACCGCGGCGGGUCAGCCCCCUGCGAAGAGAAUCGUGUUUAUCUGCGCCCCCGACCUCCACCGACUCCUUCCCCACCCCGCCUUCGUUCUGCUGCGGAACACCUAUUCAGGCGAAAGGCUUGUCAAGGCUGAACAUUUGAAUGAAUAAAUGAUAAAAAUAAUAAUAAAAUACGAAGGAACCCCCACCUUCACUUGGCCUCGGGGGACUAAACUACCAAUGCCUUAGCAAAGGGACACAUUUCCUUCUUCUAAUCGCCUCUUCUGUGAGGUUUUGCUGUAGCUUUUUUUUUUUUUCUGCUGAACUUUUAAUAGGAAAUGUUUUAAUAGUUACUGUAGAAUUUCUAAUGGAUAUCUCAUGGGGAAAACGUCCAACACAAAACAAUACUUCGCCUCCUCACCGAACUGAACUCCUGAGGAAGAAAUCUCACUGUUCCAGCAGAGUGCGGACGGCUCGCUUUGGGGUGCAGGGUUCCCCGACAGUCUGGAGCGACCCUUCCCGCACAGAGGGGAACCCGACCCUCUCCCUCCCCCCCUUCCUCCUUUCUUCUUUCCUUCCUUUUUCUUUCUUGUUAAAAGUUGUUAAUGUACACAUACACGCGCGCACACAGGUCUUUUCCACGCGUGUGCCCCUUCUUUCUUGGCCCGUGCUUCCCGAUUUUGCUGGAAACGGAAAGAGAGGCUCGAGUGCAGGACAGUAAACCGGCAGUGUCCGGGACACUUGAUCUCCGUCCGAGCUGCACGUUCAAAGCCAAAAACCCCGGGCCACCCCAACUCCUGGCCCUCUUUGGGGCCGCUCCUGGACGGGACAGGGACCCAGGGACCCCAGAGGAGGAGCACUCCUAGAGCAACGCGGAGGACAAAGAAGGGAAAACAGAAGCAAAGUCUUUGAAUUGCUGCUGUUAAAAAGACUGCUGUUCACCUUUGAUUUUCUCAUAUUUUGCUACAAAGGAAAAAGAAAUUGAAUGAUGUGCCUACAUUUAAGGAGAAGAAAACACUAACAACAGUGGUGUAGGUUGAAAAGUCAUUGCGCGGAGAGGGCAGAAGUGAAUUAAGUCCCCGGGGACCGCGGGCGCGGGCCGAGGAGACCUCCUGAAAUACGACUGACCCGAACCUGUCCUGCGAGAGGCACUGGGGUUUAAGAGUCAGGCCGAGGGCUCCAAAGCCCGGCGUGCACGCGGAAAGAAGGCCUUUCUUGGAGGCCUCAACUCAGAUGCCA